GACGGAGGGGGCUAGCGUUGUUCGGAAUUACUGGGCGUAAAGCGCACGCGGGCGGCCUGUCAAGUUGGGCGUGAAAGCCCGGGGCUCAACCCCGGAACUGCGUUCAAAACUAGCAGGCUCGAGACCGGGAGAGGAGAGCGGAAUUCCCAGUGUAGAGGUGAAAUUCGUAGAUAUUGGGAAGAACACCAGUGGCGAAGGCGGCUCUCUGGUCCGGUUCUGACGCUCAGGUGCGAAAGCGUGGGGAGCAAACAGG
rnacentral:rRNA from 1 species